AUUGAACGCUGGCGGCAGGCCUAACACAUGCAAGUCGAGCGGAUGAAGGGAGCUUGCUCCUGGAUUCAGCGGCGGACGGGUGAGUAAUGCCUAGGAAUCUGCCUGGUAGUGGGGGAUAACGUCCGGAAACGGGCGCUAAUACCGCAUACGUCCUGAGGGAGAAAGUGGGGGAUCUUCGGACCUCACGCUAUCAGAUGAGCCUAGGUCGGAUUAGCUAGUUCGUGGGGUAAAGGCCUACCAAGGCGACGAUCCGUAACUGGUCUGAGAGGAUGAUCAGUCACACUGGAACUGAGACGCGGUCCAGACUCCUACGGGAGGCAGCAGUGGGGAAUAUUGGACAAUGGGCGAAAGCCUGAUCCAGCCAUGCCGAGUGUGUGAAGAAGGUCUUCGGAUUGUAAAGCACUUUAAGUUGGGAGGAAGGGCAGUAAGUUAAUACCUUGCUGUUUUGACGUUACCAACAGAAUAAGCACCGGCUAACUUCGUG
rnacentral:rRNA from 1 species